GGCUAAUUUCAUACCGUUGUAUUAGACUAGGCUAAUCCGUUGUAUUACACUAAAACAAGGCUAAUACAACGGUUUAUACUAACCGUUGUAUUAGAUAAACUAAUCCAUUGUAUUAGAUGAACUAAUACAACGGAUUAUUCUUCUAACACAAAGGAUAGUGUUCCCAAAUCUUUUUUCUAUUUUUCAGUUGGAGCUAAUCCAAUGGAUCAGUUGAGCUAAUCCAACGGAUCAGCCCCAAAAAAUAAAAAAAGAUUAAGACCUAAUACAACGGAUGAGUAAAAAAAAAACAAAAGAAAAAAAACCGAGAAAUGCUGAAAUAUUAAAGCCAAAAAUGAAAUUGAAACCCCAUUUCCCAAACUUCUCAGCUCAGUCUUCCUUCGUUCUCCUCCCUCAACUCGCCGCUGCUCCUUCCUUCGUUCUCCUCCCUCGCCACCGCUGCGUCGUCUCCUACCUCGCCGUUUCGUUCUGCUGUGCUCGAAUCUCUAUCUAAGCCGUUUCAGAUUCUGAGGUGGUGGUGCUGCUAGUGCUUGGGGGAUCCUUUGGGGCUAAUUCUAUGAACAUUGCUCUAUUUAAUAUAUACUUUCAAAUGUUGGAGCAGCGGCCAAAUUUGCAUAUUAUCUGGGAGACUGGUGUGGAGUCAUUUGAUGAGAUGGAGAGUCUUGUUCGAAACCAUUUCCGAUUAGUUUUAGCACCAUUCAAGAUCCCUAGUCAAGCAGCAUUACCUUUUCACAUGCAACUUCAAGGAGAAUCUCUUGUCUAGUGUCUAAUACAAUAGGUUACAUUUUCCAAUUUUUGUUCUACUAAUACAAUGUAGAGCUUUCUGUCAUUAGAUGCUUAAAGAAAUGUGUUUCGUGCAAUAGGUUCUUUAAUUUUAAGAAGAAAAUAUGAUCAGAUUUUAUUUCUAGUGAGAAUGUGAUAUCCUAUACUUAACCAUGCAGAACCUCUGUUUGCAUCUUAAGGACUUAUGUACUCACUGUGGAGCAAGAUUAUUGACAUAUUCCGUGUUCAAUCAGCUAAUUUUACUUAUAUUUUCUGCAUUUUGAUCCUUUUUUUUUAUUUAUCGUUUGACUUUUGCAUUUCAUUGUUGCUUGUUUAUUGAUCGGAUUGGAUUGUUGUUUAUUUCUAUCAAUCGUUUUUUUUUGUUUAAUGCUGUAUUUUUUUGGACAUGUAUUUUGGCCUUCUACUUAUGAAAUCUGAUACAUCAAUUUCUUGGUUACAAACUUCUUAGCCCCUGCACAUAUUCUUGUAAACAAACCACUAUCUACGUUCCGGUUCAUAACCUUCUUAGCCUCUUCACACGUAUCCUCGAAUCGAAUCUCAUACAUUCCCACCACCAGUGGUACCAAUGACUUCUGCCUAAGCAAAAGAUAUGUCAUGUAAUCUGAAACUUGCUUACAGAAAUUAGGAUAGUUUGUACCUCGAACACUGUCAUCAGCAGUCCAGUAGCAUAUAUCAGUGGCAAUUACUACAAAACCCAUUGUUUUUCGACGCAGUCAACAAAGCGUCAGUGGAAAAUUGGAUUCCCGUGUUUUUUCGACGCUUUUCAGCGUCCUCACUUAUUGUUGACCCAAAUAAGCGUCCUGAAUAUUAAUCACGUGAUAAGCACAUGUAGCUUGCGAACUUGAACUAAAUUGGGGGAAAAGCCGGAAAACAUCAAAACCGUUCCUUUUACUCUCCAAUAACUAAACCUUAGCCUUCACUAAAAUUCUCUCAUCAAUUCAUCGCUCUCCAAAA